UCCUGCCCUUGGGACAUCCCGGACGCCUUUUGCCCCGCCCACGUGGCCGGGCGCCCUGUCUCCAAUAACCCAGCGGUCCAAGGCAGGCUGCCGCCCCUGCGGACUGUCGCGCCCUGCCACACCCCCAUAUGGCUGGAGGAGGGAGGAUACUCUGGGCUAAGCCACCUGCCAGGAACUACACACUUCCUUGGUACUCGCCAUGGCUGUGUUGGAUCUCGGCAAAAACGCACCUGCAGUACUUUCUACCCUUGUUCUGUCCAAAAGGAAAGCGCUUUCGGGGUCUGAUGGAGGAUUGAGAUGCCUUGGUUUGGAGCUGCACUGCGCUGAUGGUUUUGAUUAUGGGUGUAACAUUAAUUCCAAUGACUGGCACUCAUCCCUCAGUCCUAGGGUGAUACGUGUGCAUAAAAGUAAGACUAAAUAUGAAAGACUCUUUCACCAUGAUCUCUUUGGGACACUAAACGUUAGGAGGUCAGCGGCAUUCGUGACAACAGCUUCUGUAGUGACCUAAGAGGAGAUUUCACCUAAGAGAAAUGGUUUGCACGGGGGUGUGAAUACUGCCAGGCAUGAUUCCAUAGGAACUGCAGCUGGCCACCACAGCCAAAAAAGGACACUUUGAGGCUCAGAGAGGAAGAUCACUUUGAAUUCAAAACCAGGUUGCCAGCUAUCGUGGUCAGUCUCAAGUCAACCUGGCCUAUAAGGAGAAGAAAAUCUAUGGAUGCUAUCAAAAUUGAUAAAGAUUAGAUUUGAACAAGAGAGUUCUCUUGAUUAGAAGAGGUGAUAGUUCAUCAACCAGCAUGACCCUUCAAUCUAAACUAACUUAUAAGACUAACAAAUGUAGCCAGGCGGUGGUGGCACACACCUUUAAUCCCAGCACUGGGGAGGCAGAGGCAGGUGGAUCUCUGUGAGUUGGAGGCCCACCUGGACUACAGAGGGAGUUCCAGGAAAGGCACAAAGCUACACAGAGAAACUCUGUCUCAAAAAAUCAAACAAACAAACAAAAAAAACGACUAACAAAUGCUUUUCAUUUGAUCUGAUAUAACCUGCCAAAAGGGAAACUUCCCAAAGUUAUAGUUGGGGCAGAGUUUUGUUUUUGUCUUUCCAGGAAAAUGAAGGCAAUCAGCUAAGGAAUCUGAAGACCACUGGACAACUGAGACAUCUGAAGAAAAAAGGAUGAAUCAUCCAGAGCAAGUGUCCCAAGAAAAGGAAUAAAUUGGCCUACUGAUAUUUCACAUUUCCAACAGGAUAAAAUUUCAUAAAUCUUCCUAAAUGUUUGUUUCUGCUGUUCUCUACAGAUACAUAAUGCAAAUGGUCUUUUUGUAGUUCAAUUAAAAAUUAACGCUGGCUUUGGAGUUGAAGCAUGACUCUCUCCUUGUCUAAACCCAAACAUGCUUGUUAAAAGGAAAAUCCAAAAUCUCUGUCUUAUGUCAGAAGAGCCACUUGAUAUGGAACAGAAGAAAAACUGACAUUAAGGGACUGAUCUAUUGCUACUAAUCUCAUGAUCCUUUGGUUUUAUUUUAACUCUUUAAAACUUUUCUUAAGAUAUGAAUAUUAUAUCAGAAUUUAUAAGAUUAAACUUUUGUCAUGAUAUUAAUGGUCAUGUAGAGUACUAACUAAUUCUAGAAAAGGACUUCAUCUAGAUUCCUGUAUAUGAUUUUGGGUUUGAAUAUCAGGUAUACUAGGAAUUAAGUUUUUGUGCUCUGGAUAUACCUAACAAAUUAUGGUCCCUUAAACUCUUUGAGAUCUGCUGCAUAUGACAUUUGAAAUGUUUAAGUUUUCUGCAGUGAACCAUGACCAUGCCUGACAGUGACUUUUGAAGUCUCCAAAAGGAGGAUGGGGCUCCACAAAGAUGAUUCCAUCUGGACUGUGAUAAUGCCACUAAGCUGACAAACACCACCUAAAGAUCAGCUUUGGACAACAAACUGCUCAGGACAAUUUCAAGGUGGCUAGCUGAGACGGUCCAGUCUCACAGACUACUCUAGCCAGGACUUGAGACCAGCCCUGCACUUUCCCAUCACACAGAGACUGGAUAACAAAUGAUACAGCUAGCUCUCCUAGGACCUGACAAUUAUCCCAAUUUUUUUCAUGUUUCCCCCAAAGAUACUGUUGUCCCCAGAUAGCAGGAAGCAAUUUUAAGAACACAACACCCACAUUCCCAAGAGGUACGGUGGGUGAUUUUUGGUCAUUCAGUAUGUUAUGGAUAUUUGUCAUCAUUUAGGGGAGUUGGUUACAAAUUGUUAUUGGUAACAGUCAGGAGAAAAACUGAACAAAGGAGGUUAGAUUCAGGGAUCUCAUUCUAAAAUGAAAAGGGGAAUAUAGAAACGGGAUAAAAGGGUAGAUUAUUGAAUCUACUUUUAAACCAAAAAAGCAACUGCUAGUUUUAAAUAUUUUACAUUGGCUUGGAUUUUUGUAUAUUGGUACAAAUUUAAGAUUAUUUUUGGUAGAACAUAUUGUACAUACAUUUCUACUCUUGUUCAAGGUAUUGUACCUAUACAGAUCAUUCAACAAUGUAAUGUAAAUUUCUAGUCCUUGAAAGUUAUUAUUACAAACUAUUUAGGAUAACAAAGAAAUGCAGGUUAGCAGUUAGUCACCUAUUACAAUCAAACUUGUAGUCAUGUUAGAUAUGUUUUUAUGAUCAACCAGAGAUGUAUUUUAGAUAGGCAAGUGGUUUUCAGACACUUCAGAGAUCUACAGAAUAUGGCAUUUAAGAUGUUUUAAUAUAACAUUCUUUUUUAUUAUAACUAAGAUAUGCCUGCUCCUGGCAGCACCAAUCUACUUUAGAGAAGAUGAUGGACAUUGAAUAAAUUCCACAUGGAGUUUACUUUCUUUAUGGCAAAAGUUAGCCACUGGGCAAGAAAGUAUUCUUGCUUCGACUGCUGACAGUAUGUUGUCCAAAUUGGACAAGCAAGACAGAAAAGAAAGUGACUUCUGAACUUUGCCAAGACAAGAUGAGACAGUCCUUCAAAAAUUCUGCUUCAUAGAAAAGUCUGUCAGAUAUUCUAGGCCAUCAGGCUGAAGAUGGAUGCCCCAAUAUUACAGAGGAACUUUGGGUGACUGUCCAGGCAGCCAGUUGUUUUUGUCAUUUCUUUAUUUUUAGUAGUUGUUUGCUUUGCACUUCCUGUUUACUCAGGUAAUAUUAUGUCCUUCUCAGGUCUCUGAUGGAGUUGAAGACCAGAUAGUUACAGUUAUAGUUUAAGAAACUAAAGAAGUAUAAAGUGUAUAAGGUUGAGAGACAUAAAAAGAUAGUUUUGUGUUAGUAAUGCAAGCUAGAAUAGAAAGUGAAUUAGGUACAACACUUUGGACUCACCAAGAUAGGAUAGAUAAUGGAGUAUUUUCUCUGAUUUGUCAAAUGCUAAUGGACUAGACAUUGUUAAUUUAAUUAUUGCCUAUAUAUAUUUGUAUAUAGUUAUUGUACUUAUUGUAUAUAGCUUUUCUAUGUUAGUUUAAACCUUUGUUUUUUAUUUAGAAAAAAAAGGGGAAAUGUCAUGUGAUAUUUUGUGUUCUGACAAAUAAAGCUUGCCUGGAGAUCAGAGUGAAGAGCUAAUCACUAGUUAACCAUAGAGGUCUGGAGGUCUGUACAGACAGGAGACAGGAAGUGAUAAGACUGGGCAGAGACAGGAAAUGAUAAGGCAGGUUGGAGACAGGAUCUCAGUUCUUUUUGGUCAGAGGAUUCAGAGAGGUACAAAGUCUUUGGUGGCUGCUGCUCUGCUUCACUGAUCUUUCAGCUUUUACCCUGAUAUCUGAUUCCUGGUUUUUAUUGAUCAGACUAAUUAGGAUUAUGCUUCAGAAGGUUAUUGGGGUAUUUUGGAGAUCCAGCUCUAAGACUGCACCUAGGUUAUGCAAAAACUCCAUGAAUGUGGCAAGGGCUGAACUUUCCUAUCUGAGGGGAAUUAGUAAAGAAACAUACAUGUUCUGAUGGCAACUUUCUCUUUACUGCAUCUUGAAAAAUCUCCUUCUGAAAAUCUGUCUCCACACAGCUACAUAUCUCUACACACAGCUACAUCUCUCUACACACAGCUUCACAUCUCUACACAGCCACACACCUCUCUUCUAUACAUCUCUCUUCUACACAUCUCUACACAUCUACAUCUCUCUUCUACACAGCCCUCUCACAGAAAAAAAAAUCUCUGGACAAAUAUGUGAGUUACAUUUUGAGGGUCACAAAACAUUCCUUGAGUAAACAAUAGGAAGCAGAGCCAUUCUGAUAACACAUAAGAAAUUAUAUAGUUUCUUUCAGGCUAGGGAUUCCAUGCUGACUGGCCAGUGAGUGAAUAGGCAUGGCCACGCUUGACUGUCAGACAGACUGUAAAGCAAGAAUGGGAGGGAAACACAUAGCUGAGUGCUCAGCAUUUCCCAACAGAGUGACAUUGAAAUUCAGGACCUAAGCAAUAAACAGUUAGUUGGCUGAACCUUGAGUCUUGCAUCAUAAAACUGGUAUUAGGGGUAUGUGUAGAGAGUCAAUUGCUGAGAGAAUCUGUGCAGGGAGUUAUGUCUCUAAUGUUAUCAGCCAGACUUUUGCAAGUGAAGAGCUGGCACUAAAGUUGCUUCAUGAAGGAAUCAUCUUCCUGACCAUCCACAAAUGUAUGUGUGCCCAGUAGAUGGAAUAUAUACAUGAGAUAAGCACACAGGCAGUGGGUAAAAUACUCAUAGCUGUUUUUAGGGAAGAAAUGUAGUGGCACAUGAGAAAAAUUACAGACAGAAACAACCAGUUUUCAGAGUCUGUGGUCCCACAAGCCUUGCUUGAUGAAGUUUCUCCAUCAGAGAGUUAUUCAUCUGGUGGAUCAAUGACUGAAUUAUUAAUUGACAUCUGUUGUAUUUAUGUCAUGGCCCAUGAUGGGGGAAAAUUGUUUGGUUGGUUGAUUUUUGGUAGAUGGACUGGCUCAUGGCACCUACAAGGACAAAUAUAAUAAUUUGGAAGCUUU